GACGUAGGAGGCGAGCGUUGUCCGGAUUCAUUGGGCGUAAAGAGCUCGUAGGCGGUUUGUCGCGUCUGCUGUGAAAAUCCAGGGCUUAACCCUGGACCUGCAGUGGGUACGGGCAGACUAGAGUGCGGUAGGGGAGAUCGGAAUUCCUGGUGUAGCGGUGAAAUGCGCAGAUAUCAGGAGGAACACCGGUGGCGAAGGCGGAUCUCUGGGCCGUAACUGACGCUGAGGCGCGAAAGCCAGGGGAGCAAACGGG
rnacentral:rRNA from 1 species